UUUCUCUAAUGGAAGCGAAGCAAUUUGGAGGUAAACAUUCGGUUUUUAUUAUGGGCCCUAUUAUAGAAAUCGAGGCGAUAAGAAUUUUGCUCGUUAGCUCUGUUUUACUAUUAUAGAAAUCGAGGAAUUCGAUAGCACCGAGCGAGUGAUAGCUAUCGUUGCAAGUGUCAGAACUUUUCGAGUUGUUUGGUUCGCUUGUUGCAUACCUUCAGAGAAUUAUUUUGUUUUGGUAUGCAUCCCUGAUAUUUUCCUUUGGGAAACAUUUCAGAAACGCUUCAAUAUAUGCAAUUUGCAACACAUGUUCGUUUGUUUUGAUCAGCAUUUGUUUUAUUGUGCUGCCAGAAUAGUGUAUACAAGCGCAUAUUUCAGUGGCUGAAAAUGAGUGGCGGAAGAAAAAAAACCAAUGCAUCUUGGUUGGUAGAAAGUUUGGAUUGACAUGAGGGGAAACGUAAAGAAAACACUAGCACACAACAAGCGAGAAUUUAGAGCAACAGAUGGUGGCCCCAAUACAAUAAAGCUAUUGACGCCGCUACAACAAGGAAUCGACGCUAAAAGAGAAUUACAUGUUGCAUUUCAUGAAUAACAAAAAUUGUUUUGCUAAAAAAAGUGAAAUUCGUGCGUGACUCUUUUCGGAAUUCCAUAGAUUGCAGUCAUGAAAAUACAUGAAUAAGUUCAUUUUCUAAUAAUUAUAUUUUUUGUAAAGCAAAUUGUUUCACGCUGUCGUUUUUAUUACACAUGCAUGCGAGCCUUACGCCUGUUAAGCUUUAUUCUUUGAGAGAAUAUCAAUUUACUCUAAAACAUAACCAUAUUAACACUUUUGGAAAUACAUUUUCAUAGCAGAUGCCUCAAAGAAAGAUUUGGCAUCCUUUCUAUAGUGCUUCGUGAAACAUUUCGAACUUGUUUCAAAAUAUUUCAUCACAACCGCUGACAUUCGAGCUUGCUAACGAAUCGAGCAGUUUUCCUCGAUUUCUAUAAUUCCAGAUUUUACUCGGUGUGAUAGUGAUAGUGAUUGUAUCGAAUCCUCGAUUCGAUUUCUAUAAUAGGGCCCUAUGAUUCAUUUUACCUAAAUAUUUUCCUUUUUCAGCCUGAAACCGUAGAAAUCCAUAGCAAAAGUUUCACACGACUAAGUAAGCGUUUAGAUAAACUAAAUAUCAGAGGCCAAAAACGGCGGAUGUCGCCGUGCACAAUUGAUUGAUGAUCCGAUUAUUGUUUGAUUUUUCCCCUUAUUCUAUUAUAAGCAGAUCGCAACCAACAGCAGCAAUGGAUCGCCUCCGCUCGAACUUGGAGCGUCACAUCAAGCAGUAACAUCUUUAAUUUUGGUCGUAUUGUCAGCACGGAGGAAAUCAUUAGAAGCGCGAUUGAAACAUUCGAUCGGCAAUCAAGUAAUCCGCCAAAGGAAGGAAGUAGACAAAGAUUUGAUGUUCCGCUGUCACAAGAUUAAAGCGACAAGCAGCUGCUGCUAACUUCCGGCUCGGCAUGUGGCUGAGAGGAGAAUUUCUUAUUAAAUUUAAAGAACAAGUACUAACAAUUUUGAUUUACAAUUAUCAAUCCGCAUGUGACUAAACUGAGAGAUUUUUUCACUAUGCAGCUUCCAUUGCGAUUUCCAGUAAAAAUAGGUAAAUGCUCAAUUAAUUUUUAAAAUAUUUAGCACUGUGUUACGCAAUUCGUUCUAUUUUGUUGCAUGUGUUAAACGUUCUAACGCUGUUGCAUGUGUUAAACGCGUUUAUCAUAUUUGGCAACGUAUUCGAAUAAGAGACACCCGUGACCAGUGUGAGCCACAUCAAAGAAAGCGAAGAGCGUACGACAUGCUUUAUCGAGAGUUACUGUUUUGAUGUCCCGUUCGAGUAAGUACGACGUGGUGCCGAUAUCCAGCGUCAAAUCAUCUUCGAAGAUGAGAACGAGUUGAUGCAAAAGCACGCUUUUAAGUACUGUGAUACCCAACUCGCUCGCUAAAAGCCUGCACGAGCAGCUUUACAAUAUUUUAUAAA